UUCUAUGGGUGGCGCGAGUGGAGAGGCUUCGGCCUGCCGGGUUCCGUAUGCCCCGGUCUGUCAACUUCGCUCGUUGCCGCCCACC
rnacentral:antisense_RNA from 17 species